rnacentral:lncRNA from 1 species
UUCGAUGCUGCACUAUAUAGACAGUUCAAUAGUCUCAUACUCUCACUCUUAGAAUCCUCCCAGUUCUGUUACAGUUCCUGAUUGCAUAACUUUAUUCCUUAUUUCUUUAAUUUUCACAUCAACAGAAUUGCUGAUACAUAUUACAGAGUAUAGAAAAAAAAAACUACAGAUAUCAUGAUCAUACCCAGCAUAAUGUACAAGCAAGCCGUGAAUGUUAAACUAUGGGGACCCCCGGAAGAACGAGUCCACUGUACCUACAUGGGGGAUUCUUGGCUUAUCUGCAGCGUGAUAUACUGGACUACUUUGGAUCACACAGAAAUAUGAACCACCUACUUUAUGUAUCUUGUGACCACUAAUACCUCGUUGACCCAGCUCAUUUUGAGCUUAUUCUUUUAAGGUAAAUAUAUAUAUAUAUAUAUUUUUUUUUUCCCUAAAAUAUGAUCUCUCCAAU